rnacentral:rRNA from 1 species
UGUCCAGACUCCUACGGGAGGCAGCAGUGGGGAAUAUUGGUCAAUGGGCGGGAGCCUGAACCAGCCAAGCCGCGUGAAGGAAGAAGGCGCCAGGCGUCGUAAACUUCUUUUGUCGGGGAACAAAGGGCGCCACGUGUGGCGUUGUGAGUGUACCCGAAGAAAAAGCAUCGGCUAACUACGUGCCAGCAGCCGCGGUAAUACGUAGGGGGCGAGCGUUAUCCGGAUUCACUGGGUGUAGAGGGAGCGUAGACGGCCAUGCAAGCCAGGGGUGAAAGCCCGGGGCCCAACCCCGGGACUGCCCUUGGAACUGCAUGGCUGGAGUGCGGGAGGGGCAGGCGGAAUUCCUGGUGUAGCGGUGAAAUGCGUAGAUAUCAGGAGGAACACCGGCGGCGAAGGCGGCCUGCUGGACCGCGACUGACGUUGAGGCUCGAAAGCGUGGGGAGCGAACAGGAUUAGAUACCCCGGUA